rnacentral:piRNA from 1 species
UGAAUAAUAAGCAGAUAAACA